rnacentral:rRNA from 1 species
UCGAAGAUCGAGGUAGUGACGAAAAUAACGAUCCAGGACUCAUCCGAGGCCCUGGAAUCGGAAUGAGUACACUUUAAAACCGUCCCCGAGGAUCUAUUGGAGGGCAAGUCUGGUGCCAGCAGCCGCGGUAAUUCCAGCUCCAAUAGCGUAUAUUAAAGUUGUUGUGGUUAAAAAGCUCGUAGUUGGAUCUCGGCGGACUGAGGGCGGUUUGCUUGCUAGUAUUACUGCCCUAUAGUCCGUAGUUUUGCCAGAGGUUUCGGGGUGCUCUUAAUCGAGUGUCCCGGGAUGCUGGCAGGUUUACUUUGAAAAAAUUAGAGUGCUCAAAGCAGGCUAUUACGCCUGAAUAUUCGUGCAUGGAAUAAUAGAAUAGGAAGUCGUUUCUAUUUUGUUGGUUUUCGGAAAUCGACUUAAUGAUUAAUAGGGACAGUCGGGGGCAUUUGUAUUCAAACGACAGAGGUGAAAUUCUUGGACCGUUUGAAGACAAACUACUGCGAAAGCAUUUGCCAAGAAUGUUUUCAUUAAUCAAGAACGAAAGUUAAAGGUUCGAAGGCGAUUAGAUACCGCCCUAGUUUUAACCAUAAACGAUGCCAGCUAGCGAUCUGCGGACGUUUUUUUUGUAGACUCCGCAGGAAGCUUCCGGGAAACCAAAGCAUUUGGGUUCCAGGGGAAGUAUGGUUGCAAAGCUGAAACUUAAAGGAAUUGACGGAAGGGCACCACCAGGAGUGGAGCCUGUGGCUUAAUUUGACUCAACACGGGAAAUCUCACCAGGCCCGGACACUGGAAGGAUUGACAGAUUGAUAGCUCUUUCUUGAUUCGGUGGGUGGUGGUGCAUGGCCGUUCUUAGUUGGUGGAGUGAUUUGUCUGGUUAAUUCCGAUAACGAACGAGACUCUGUCCUGCUAAAUAGUGUCUGCUUCUCUUUUGAGCAGACAAUUCUUCUUAGAGGGACUGGCGACUCUUAGUCGCACGAGAUUGAGCAAUAACAGGUCUGUGAUGCCCUUAGAUGUUCUGGGCCGCACACGCGCUACACUGAAUAGAUCAGCGUGUUCUCCCUUUCCGAGAGGAACGGGUAAACCGCUGAACCCUAUUCGUGGUAGGGAUCGGGGCUUGCAAUUAUUCCCCGUGAACCAGGAAUUCCCAGUAGGCGCAAGUCAUAAGCUUGCGUCGAUUACGUCCCUGCCCUUUGUACACACCGCCCGUCGCUACUACCGAUUGAACGUUUUAGUGAGGUCCUCGGACUGUUUGCCUGGCGGAUUACUCUGCCUGGC